GUCGUAAUGCACACAUUGACACAACUUCGCAAGCAUGAAAUUGGCGAAUUCAACCUAAAGUCAAAAUUAUAGGUACGCAUGAUCGAUGUAACUUCCUUGAUGGUGUGUUGGCUGUUUGCCCAUGUGUAUUUCGGGGUAUAGGAGUAGCCUCCCCUUUUAAAGAUCCAAAAUGGUGAUUUUACAGUGCGGCAUGCAGUCUGUCAUCAACGAAGAGUUUUGACACCUGUAAUACCCAUAUUUCUACCAUUCACCUCUGUAACCUUUGUUGAGUUCAUCAGACUGUCCAAGACAGGAAGUUGAGGAAUAAAGUUGACAGGACAUCCUGAACUGUCCUCGCUACCAGCUUAUGAGGGAACCAGCUGCAGUGGACAAAGUACGUUACAUCAUAGAAUAAUAGGUAAGUCUCCGGAGUAGUGUUUGUAGCAAUUCUCGUACUUGGUCCUGCAUCGAAGAUUCAGGACUAUUGAUAUUUAUCUCUGCAUGGUUUGGUUCUUCCCAGAAACAUGUUACUGGUGGUGGUCCCUAUAUUCUUCUGGCUUUUGUGGUGAGGAAUGUUUCAUUUCUAGCUCUUUUCUGAUCACAUUUUGUCUAUCUAGCUGUUUGUCUGUCUGUCUGUCCAUCUGUCUGUCUGUAAACUUUUCAUAUUUUCGACUUCUUCUCUAGA